AAGGUGUUCCUCACUGCCACAUCUCCCUCCUAGGGGUGGCAAACUGGUUUGUGACAGAUGCCCAUUCACUACAAUCUCCAAGACAUCUUUGAGCAAUCUAUAAUGAGACAGACCAACAGGAUAACAUCAGAUCCUUCUCAUGUAUUGUAUGAUCUGAAAAAUGCGGUUGUUUUUGUGUCUGCAGUCUGGGAUUGAGGCAUUAGGAUUCCCGAUGUGUUGCACAGCUGGAGAUAACGACCUGGGGGAAUUAGGAUCAUUGAACUUCAUCUUUGCGAUUCAUCAUGCUCAAACUACAGCAUCAGAAUAUCAUUUGCAAAUUAACCUUUGAAUGCACAGAAUCUCACAAGUGGGUAAGGGCAGGGAGAGAGAGGGGUGAAUCAAAAUCUUUCUCAGGCUCUAUAGAUAAUGCCUGGCAAAAUAAACAAUGGUCUGCUGUUUUGAUGAAUAACCACUCCGUGAUACAUACACUCACUGGCAACUUUAUUCGAUGCACCUGCUCAUUAGUGCCAAUAGUCUGCUCCUCCAAACAGAAUCAUGUGUUUGCAAUUCAAUAUUUAAAGCAUACAGACAUGGUGAAGAGGUUUAGCUUUUUUUGUUCAACCAGACAUGGGCAAGAUGCGUGAUCUAAGCGACUUUGGCCAUGGUGUGAUUGUAGGCACCAGAUUGUUGGGUGUUAUCAGUACUAAGUAGGUGCAUAACACAGGGCCAAGCCAUGCAGCAUUGUCCUAUGCUGUAUUGUACCUAUUUUUCACAUUGUGCACUCAGUUUGACUGAGUGAAACGGUAGAAAAGACAUUUUUAAAAAAACUU